rnacentral:rRNA from 1 species
CCCUUAGAUGUCCUGGGCUGCACGCGCGCUACACUGGAAGUUACGGAUUGAGAUACUACCUUGUCCGAAAUGGUCCGGGUAAUCACCUAAAAGCUUGUCAUAAUUGGAAUGGAUUAUUGUAACUAGUAAUCCUGAACGAGGAAUUCCUAGUAAGCCCCAGUCAACAGCUGGUACUGAUUACGUCCCUGCCCUUUGUACACACCGCCCGUCGCUACUACUGAUUGGACGUUUAAGCAAGAUUUUUAAACACUGACAGUGUGUAGUUCACGCUAUACUACAGUGAGAAGAAGAAGAUCGAGCUUACUUGUCUAGAGGAAGUAAAAGUCGUAACA